UUCCAGACUCCUACGGGAGGCAGCAGUGAGGGAUAUUGGGCAAUGGGGGAAACCCUGACCCAGCGACGCCGCGUGAGGGAAGACGGUCUUCGGAUUGUAAACCUCUGUCUUUGGGGACGAAAAAGGACGGUACCCAAGGAGGAAGCUCCGGCUAACUACGUGCCAGCAGCCGCGGUAAUACGUAGGGGGCAAGCGUUAUCCGGAUUUACUGGGUGUAAAGGGAGCGUAGACGGCAUUGCAAGUCCGGAGUGAAAGCCCACGGCCCAACCGUGGGACUGCUCUGGAAACUGUAGAGCUGGAGUGCGGGAGGGGCAGGCGGAAUUCCUAGUGUAGCGGUGAAAUGCGUAGAUAUUAGGAGGAACACCGGCGGCGAAGGCGGCCUGCUGGACCGUAACUGACGUUGAGGCUCGAAAGCGUGGGGAGCAAACAGGAUUAGAUACCCCAGUAC
rnacentral:rRNA from 1 species